rnacentral:rRNA from 1 species
AGAGUUUGAUCCUGGCUCAGAUUGAACGCUGGCGGCAUGCCUUACACAUGCAAGUCGAACGGCAGCGCGGACUUCGGUCUGGCGGCGAGUGGCGAACGGGUGAGUAAUGCAUCGGAACGUACCUUUCAGUGGGGGAUAACGUAGCGAAAGUUACGCUAAUACCGCAUAUUCUGUGAGCAGGAAAGCAGGGGAUCGCAAGACCUUGCGCUGAUGGAGCGGCCGAUGUCAGAUUAGCUAGUUGGUGGGGUAAAGGCUCACCAAGGCGACGGUCUGUAGCGGGUCUUAGAGGAUGAUCCGCCACACUGGAACUGAGACACGGUCCAGACUCCUACGGGAGGCAGCAGUGGGGAAUUUUGGACAAUGGGCGCAAGCCUGAUCCAGCCAUGCCGCGUGAGUGAAGAAGGCCUUCGGGUUGUAAAGCUCUUUCGGCCGGGAAAAAAUCGCUUGGGUUAAUACCCUGAGUGGAUGAUGGUACCGGAAUAAGAAGCACCGGCUAACUACGUGCCAGCAGCCGCGGUAAUACGUAGGGUGCGAGCGUUAAUCGGAAUUACUGGGCGUAAAGCGUGCGCAGGCGGUUUUGUAAGACAGGCGUGAAAUCCCCGGGCUCAACCUGGGAACUGCGUUUGUGACUGCAAGGCUAGAGUAUGGCAGAGGGGGGUGGAAUUCCACGUGUAGCAGUGAAAUGCGUAGAGAUGUGGAGGAACACCAAUGGCGAAGGCAGCCCCCUGGGCCAAUACUGACGCUCAUGCACGAAAGCGUGGGGAGCAAACAGGAUUAGAUACCCUGGUAGUCCACGCCCUAAACGAUGUCAACUAGGUGUUGGGUGGGUAAAACCAUUUGGUACCGUAGCUAACGCGUGAAGUUGACCGCCUGGGGAGUACGGCCGCAAGGUUAAAACUCAAAGGAAUUGACGG